UAUAUACUCUGGCCGAAAAUACUUCCAGAGAAAUGGAUGUAUCUAGACAUAUUUUAGUUCUAGAUACAUUCAUUUUUAUCCAUUUCUCCGACAAGUAUUUCCGGACGGAGGGAGUAUAUG
rnacentral:pre_miRNA from 1 species